UAUGGUGAUAAUUAUCAUUUUAUAUUGUGAUAAUUAUCAUUUUAUAUUGUGAUAAUUAUCAUUUUAUAUUGUGAUAAUUAUCAUUUUAUAUUGUGAUAGUUAUCAUUUUAUAUUGUGAUAGUUAUCACCACACAACAAAGAGAAGAACUCAGCGUUAAUGUUUAUUAUGGGGAACUUCAUAUGACGGAAUGUAAUCAUGGUGAAGUUCACAUGACGGAACGAUCUUAACGGAGGUAAUAUGAUAAUUAUUGGUUUUACACUGCUCUUAUAAAUAAUGUCCUUUAUUGUUUUCUCUAUUAGGAAACAAUGAGUUGAUAGUCACAGUUCUCGUCAUCGACACCUUGAUUAUCCAGUUCGUUUUACAAGUAUACAUUUAACAGAGAGCUUUAAUAUUGCAAUGCUUCAAUACCAAAAUGGCUGUUUUUUUAGUUAGAGAACAACUGUAUUUAAUCCAGUGUUUACCUGAGGGCUGCAGCAGUCUCCCUGUCUUUGGUGGACUCCUUUCAUCGUUGUGGAUUGAGAGAUGAUUUUUAGAUAUUGUCUUAGUUCUAUUUCCAUGAUCAAUCCCCUUAAAUAUCACUUCUUAUCAAUGUCAUCUGAUUAACCUGCUCACAUACACACUGUACACAAAUACAUACAUACAUAUAUACAUACAUACACACACACAGACAGACAGACAGACAGACAGACAGACAGACAGACAGGCAGGCAGGCAGGCAGACAGACAGGCAGGCAGGCAGGCAGGCAGGCAGGCAGGCAGACAGACAGACAGACAGACAGACAGACAGACAGACAGACAUACUGUAUGUUUGUAAUUUUAUGUUCCUUCUUAUUCACAGCAUUGCUGUAAAACCAUGGAUUCCAUUGAUACUAUUUUUGCUAAGGAAAUGCUCUCUUUUUUUCACACUAACCUGGUCUGCCUUAACAAAACAAACCUUAAGAUACAUACAAACAAAAACAUAAUAACAAAAAACACACAAUUUACCUCAUGUUUUACCUGCACCUUUAGUGGCAGUGUGAGAUAGGAUGACUCAGGAAUUCUAGAACCAGAACCUUGAUAAUCCUUACUUCAGGUAUUCUAGAAGCCUGAAAGUCCUUCAGGUAUUCUAGAAGCCUGAUAAUCCUUCAGGUAUUCUAGAAGCCUGAUAAUCCUUACUUCAGGUAUUCUAGAAGCCUGAAAGUCCUUCAGGUAUUCUAGAAGCCGGAUAAUCCUUCAGGUAUUCUAGAAGCCUGAUAAUCCUUACCUCAGGUGUUCUAGAACCCUGAUAAUCCUUCAGGUAUUCUAGAACCCUGAUAAUCCUUACUUCAGGUAUUCUAAGAAUUCCGAAGACAUGUCGGCACUUUGUGGUCUGAUGCUGAUGCAAUAUCUCCUCACCAUUUCAAACUACCUCCGAUUUCCACCGCAACAACCUGAAAACUCCAACCUCAAGGAAUGCACACUGCCCUGCUACACAGUACUGCACAGUACCACACAGUACUAAAUAGUAGUACACAGUACCACACAGUACUAAAUAGUACUACGCAGUACUACAUAGUAUUACUACACACAACAAUGCAUGGGGUGGCAGUGUGUGUGUGUGUGUGUGUCAACGAGCUAACUUGUUAUAAAAGUUGUUGUCUUGUGUCUCACAGUGGAACAGACAUGUUCUGUGUAAUGUUCUGUGUAAAUCUGACAGGUAAUUUACUGAAAUCAGGAGUU